ensembl:lncRNA novel transcript, antisense to ATP5L and UBE4A
ACGAGUGGAAGGCUAGAAAAGAGUCGCCAACCUGCUUCCUGCUCCCUCCACCUGCAGGCCAUCCCGCCCCGGCACCCGCAGGCCCCUCGGGUCUUCGCAGCCCGCUUCUUCCUCUCAGGCCAUCGCAGGCCUCCCUGCCGCCCGUGUGCCCGCCUCGGCGGUCUCACAUCGCGCUCACCGUUCACCAGCGCCGGGGUCUUCUCCACAAGGUUACGGACAAAUUGGGCCAUGGUUCUGGAAUGGAGAGUCCGUCGCCCCGAACCGCCGGCUGAAUGUCACCCGCCGGAAGGACCCGCUGCAGGACCCCGUCCCACUUCCAAGGUUCAUUUCCUGUUGAGCAGUUAGAGCAUGUGCAUUAUUUCCUCACAUGACAUCAACAGUGCAGCAUCAGCCUCUGGCAUGUAAAGGCACCCAGUAGACUUAUGCUCUGUGCAAUGGCUGCUUAGCAACCACCAUCAAAUAAAGUAAUGAAGCUUU